AACGCCGGCCGACCGUGUUGCACAAUGCACUCUGCAUAGGAAUAUGGUUCGUGUAACAAGAUUUCUGGUUGCGCCACUGGAAUCAUUUGACCUGAUGGUAAAAUAGAAAGAUACCAACAUGCCUUAUUUUUCUAAGAAAUCUUUCAAAAAGAGUCGCUCAGAUAGUCCACCGCCGAGCGAUAAAGUUUCCAUGGAACCUGGACGAAAGAAAUGGAACUAUCAAUUUUGUGUGAAAAUCAUGGUUUUCUCAGUCAUAAUUAUUUCCCAAGUUUGCCUCUUUGUGUAUGUAUUUGCGACGGGGGAUAAUGAAAUAUUUAAAUUUGAUGACAGUAAAUUGAAAAACAAUAUAUUGUCCAUUUGAAUAAAAUCGAUUCAAAUACUAUUCGCAAAUAUUUUGCGUAAUUAUUUAGGUAAUUGCUCUUUUUAAAAUACAACUGUUUG